AACGAACGCUGGCGGCAGGCCUAACACAUGCAAGUCGAACGGUAACAGGAAACAGCUUGCUGUUUCGCUGACGAGUGGCGGACGGGUGAGUAAUGUCUGGGAAACUGCCUGAUGGAGGGGGAUAACUACUGGAAACGGUAGCUAAUACCGCAUAACGCCGCAAGACCAAAGAGGGGGACCUUCGGGCCUCUUGCCAUCGGAUGUGCCCAGAUGGGAUUAGCUAGUAGGUGGGGUAACGGCUCACCUAGGCGACGAUCCCUAGCUGGUCUGAGAGGAUGACCAGCCACACUGGAACUGAGACACGGUCCAGACUCCUACGGGAGGCAGCAGUGGGGAAUAUUGCACAAUGGGCGCAAGCCUGAUGCAGCCAUGCCGCGUGUAUGAAGAAGGCCUUCGGGUUGUAAAGUACUUUCAGCGGGGAGGAAGGGAGUAAAGUUAAUACCUUUGCUCAUUGACGUUACCCGCAGAAGAAGCACCGGCUAACUCCGUGCCAGCCGCCGCCGUAA
rnacentral:rRNA from 1 species